UCCUGGCUCAGGAUGAACGCUAGCUACAGGCUUAACACAUGCAAGUCGAGGGGCAGCAUGAGCUUAGCUUGCUAAGUUUGAUGGCGACCGGCGCACGGGUGAGUAACACGUAUCCAACCUUCCCAUGACUCAGGGAUAGCCCUCUGAAAGGAGGAUUAAUACCUGAUGGUAUCAUUAGUUCGCAUGGAGUGAUGAUUAAAGAUUUAUUGGUCAUGGAUGGGGGUGCGUUCCAUUAGAUAGUUGGCGGGGUAACGGCCCACCAAGUCUACGAUGGAUAGGGGUUCUGAGAGGAAGGUCCCCCACAUUGGAACUGAGACACGGUCCAAACUCCUACGGGAGGCAGCAGUGAGGAAUAUUGGUCAAUGGACGAGAGUCUGAACCAGCCAAGUAGCGUGAAGGAUGACUGCCCUAUGGGUUGUAAACUUCUUUUAUAAAGGAAUAAAGUUCACUACGUGUAGUGUUUUGUAUGUACUUUAUGAAUAAGCAUCGGCUAACUCCGUGCC
rnacentral:rRNA from 1 species